GCUUCUUCUGCUACAAGGCAAAAAGGGCUUGACAAAGACAUUGCACCAAAGACCAAAAUGUGAUAGGAAUGAUAGGUUUGUAAGGGAAUGUAAAAUGUCUUUAAUAGUAAACUGUGACCUAUAAACUUCAACCUUGUCUAAGCAAAAACUGAAGUUACCCCAUGUCUUAAAUUCCUCCCAUUACUUCACCUACAUGAGAGUGAGGCACCCAUUUCUCCUAAAUGGGUUGGCUACAAUCCCUCAUCUCUCCAUUGAAGAAGCUGUGGUUUCGCAUGCACUCUGCUCAAAGAAAGAGAAGAGGUAUAUACAUUUUGUAUGAGGAUGUCAAAUCCUGCCCCUAUGAAGAUGUGCAUGUCUUAUGGUCAAUACUAGUGGAGUCAAAUACUUCUUUGCCAUCAAAAAAUGGUGCUCAUAUGCAACCAGUUGACAGAAUAUGAGAAAGUUCCAGUUAUUUACAUUUUCCUUUUCUGUCAAGUCCAGCUAUGUACAUAAACAUAUUUGAUAUUUAUGAGUUUUAUACUCGUAUAAAAGAGUUGUCUUUUCUUUUUUUGUUCUUCUGGGUUUCUUCAAUUUCUCUCCUGUCAUCUGAGGUACGCAUUUGUAUAUUAUGGUACUCUCAAGUUUCAAUAUUUAUAGAAACGUUUUAUUUGGCUCUUAAUUUGAAACAGCCUUUUCUUUUA